UUUGUGAAAGAAAACAUUGGGGUUUCUUUGGCUGUUCUUGAUAAGCCUAUAAAAAAUGAUAUUUUUUAGUUGCUUAUAGGUAGGUUUUCUUUUUACUCUUCCACAAAAAAGAAAAUAAUAGUAAUAAUAAUAAGACAAUGUAGUGUGGUGUUGCAGAGUAUCAUUGUGAGUGUUUUGUUUUGUUUUGUUUUGUUUUCUGAGAUGCUUAGAAAAUGGUGAAUGUGUAACAGUUUCCAACUGAAGUGAAAUCAUAUUCUGUUAGCAUGGAGCAGCAGCACUAUCUUCCUGUCUACUCUCUAACGUUGCUGAAGUAAAGGAACCCUGCAGCCUUCCCAUGCUAUCUGUUGACAUGGAAAACAAGGAAAAUGGCUCUGUCGGUGUAAAAAAGUAAGUGAAGCUGGCUUCUGAGUUCUGCUUCUGCAAACAACAGAGGGACUUGGUUUCUAUUUUCGUACUUCUUGCUUAUCUACUACAAUACACAGUUUGGGGGUCGCCUUGGUUUGUCUACACUGGCCAGCAGCCUCCCUUCUCCCCCCUACCCCCGUUACCUUUUUCUGUAUUCCAUUUCUAAGACAGAGAUGACUCAGACAUCAAAAUAUAUAUGAAAGGUUUGUGUAUCAGGCUUUGGAACAAGGAUGGUUGAGGAUUUCAGCCCUGCAUUCUGUAUAUUGAAACAAAAACUCCAAGCAGAGACUCUUCCAUAGACAACACAGAAUGGGGGCAGAAAAUAGAGUUCAAAUUUUUUUUUUUAAUACAAUCACCUCUAACUCUGAAAACUAAGAGCUAUAGUGCAGGAGGGGAAAAAGCUUCAGUAAGAAUAUAGUUUAACAACUCCUCCGUCCUAAUUUUAUGAACUGUUUAAUGAAUGUGAAACAUUUCUGUGCAUACAUGGUGUUUAUUUUAAUGUCUGUUCUCACAUUUGAAACUUGUGUUUAUAUGUGUCAUGUAAGAGUUAUAUAUUUGAUUAUUUUAAAUGGGAAAAUUCAA
rnacentral:sRNA from 1 species